rnacentral:lncRNA from 1 species
CGCUGUAUUGUAUUGCAUCAGUUCGUUAGUAGUGUGCGUUGGAUACGGAUUACGUGCGUAUUAGGGGGACAUGGACGCUGGGUUCGUGCAAAACAUUCCUCGGCUGGAGUAGACCGAGGUCGUUGGUAUUGGAGGACUUGUAAUGGUGGUGAUCCAUCUCAUUCCACCGAGCCUCUUCCUCGAAUCCAGGAAUGUGUCGACGUACGGUGAGUUUGGCGACAGGGAAUAGGAUAAUACGGACACCUACGUACAGUACACGGUUUAAAAGAAGUACAGGAGCGCACGCAUUGGUAUAAUCUGUGCAUCAGCAUUAUAUGGCCCCUAAAAUAGUCCCGGUAUAUUAUUGGUCUUGUGCCGGCCGGUGGUUGGCGCGAUGCUACGUUUCGGAUCCGCAACAAAACCCGGGGUAGAAUAGUGUUUGCCAGAUACAGUAGCAGCGUGGUUUCAGAUGUAAACGUCUUAUACAGUACCUGCACUUCACAAAAGACGAGGCUUGCUGGAUUUAAAACCUGAAUUGGGAUAUCGGAACUGAAUGCUGUUAACUGCAGCUGGGGAAGGACGAGUCCACGAC